rnacentral:rRNA from 1 species
UCGAGCGAGGCGGGGUAGCAAUACCCCAGUCGAGCGGCGAACGGGUGAGUAACGCGUGGAUGACCUGCCCUUCAGCGGGGAAUAACCCGGGGAAACUCGGGCUAAUACCGCAUACGACCGCGAGGUGAAAGUGGGGAGCAAUUCUCACACUGAAGGAGGGGUCCGCGUCCGAUUAGCUAGUUGGUAGGGUAAUGGCCUACCAAGGCGACGAUCGGUAGCCGGCCUGAGAGGGUGAUCGGCCACACUGGAACUGAGACACGGUCCAGACUCCUACGGGAGGCAGCAGUGGGGAAUUUUGCGCAAUGGGCUAACGCCUGACGCAGCAACGCCGCGUGGAGGAUGAAGGUCUUUGGAUUGUAAACUCCUGUCAGCAGGGAAAAAGCGACCUAACCUAAUACGUUAGGGAGUUGAUUGUACCUGCAGAGGAAGCCCCGGCUAACUCUGUGCCAGCAGCCGCGGUAAUACAGAGGGGGCAAGCGUUA